rnacentral:lncRNA from 1 species
GUAGACAUAUCCGGAACAGUAACAGACCCCAAAAUUUGAUCACGAGUUGCAGAGUACUCCUGGGGUAGGCCAUAGAGUGCAAGAAGCAUGAAGAAGGUGCUGCGUUGAUCCAACUCCUUCUUCUGUUCAACUGGAUUACUUGCAGCAGGAGGGAGUAGCUCAUUAAAGUCAUGAAGUGCACUAUGAACAGUGCCAAGAUAUGUAGAAAUAGAGCCAUCGAGUGACUUCGGAGUAAUGAUGUUCAACAAGCGGUGACAAACUCC